rnacentral:tRNA from 2 species
GGGCCUCUAGCUCAACCGGCAGAGCAUCCGCCUUUUAAGCGGAGGGUUCUGGGAUCAAGACCCAGGGGGCCCA